rnacentral:rRNA from 1 species
UACGAGGGGUGCAAACGUUAUUCGGAAUCACUGGGCGUAAAGGGUGCGUAGACGGCAAUAUAAGUCAAUUAUUAAAUCUCCUGGCUUAACUAGGAAUCUGUGAUUGAAACUAUGUUGCUUGAGGAUGGAAGAGAGAAGUGGAAUUCUCGGAGUAGCGGUAAAAUGCGUAGAUCUCGAGAGGAACACCGAUGGCGAAGGCAGCUUCUUGGUCCAUUUCUGACGUUGAGGCACGAAAGCGUGGGGAG